UUGUUUUAAUGGUGUUUGCUUAUUUUUUGCCUGAAUUGCAGGCAAUCUCAUCCUUUCUGCACUGAAUUGACGUAACCCUUCUCUCAGAAUCAAAGCCUUCCCAAGAAGUGCUCAGUCACUUGCGUCGGGGGGAGGGGCCCUGUCCAGUUGUCUGAGAUCCCAGGAGGCUUAUCGGUGGCUGGAGCUGAACCUCCUUGGUGUUGUCUGCCUGGAUUUCUAGGACCCAUCUCUGGUCUGGCCUGUACAACACCUACUGCCUCCAGAGGCAAAGAUGAAUUUGCAUCUCACCAUCCACAACCACACCUAGACCUCCUUGCUGCCAAUGACACAUUUGCAAGACUGUCCGCAAGCCCUGGAUGGAAACAUUCAACACAAGUGGAGGUACUGGUCAGCCUUAUUUUAGAGAGAAAAUGACCAGAAUGUGAGUGGGGCAGAUCAGCCAGAGGAGCACAGCAGAAAUUUGUCAAAGGACCAGAGCAGCUUCUCCUGUCUUCCUGGGUUACUCCUUCCCUUUCUUCCUGACUCUCCCCAGCCCAACUCAGGAAGCAUCUCCCGUAUUUUCACCAAGAGCGUGAA